AAGAGACAGCAGCAGCCGCGGUAAUACGGAGGGUGCAAGCGUUAAUCGGAAUUACUGGGCGUAAAGCGCACGCAGGCGGUCUGACAAGUCAGAUGUGAAAUCCCCGGGCUUAACCUGGGAACUGCAUUUGAAACUGUCAGGCUGGAGUCUUGUAGAGGGGGGUGGAAUUCCAGGUGUAGCGGUGAAAUGCGUAGAGAUCUGGAGGAAUACCGGUGGCGAAGGCGGCCCCCUGGACAAAGACUGACGCUCAGGUGCGAAAGCGUGGGGAGCAAACAGGAUUAGAGACCCCUGUAGUCCCUGUCUCUUAUAC
rnacentral:rRNA from 1 species